GGGGUAACAUAGAAAAGCUUGCUUUUCUGAUGACGACCGGCGCACGGGUGCGUAACGCGUAUACAACCUACCUUUUAGCGGGGAAUAGCCCAGGGAAACUUGGAUUAAUGCCCCAUAGUAUAUGGACUUCUCCUGAAGUUCAUAUUAAACAUUUAUGGCUAUUAGAUGGGUAUGCGUCCUAUUAGUUAGUUGGUAAGGUAACGGCUUACCAAGGCAGCGAUAGGUAGGGGUCCUGAGAGGGAGAUCCCCCACACUGGUACUGAGACACGGACCAGACUCCUACGGGAGGCAGCAGUGAGGAAUAUUGGACAAUGGGCGAGAGCCUGAUCCAGCCAUGCCGCGUGCAGGAAGACUGCCCUAUGGGUUGUAAACUGCUUUUACAGAGGAAGAAUCGCCACUACGUGUAGUGGUUUGACGGUACUCUGCGAAUAAGGAUCGGCUAACUCCGUGCCAGCAGCCGCGGUAAUACGGAGGAUCCAAGCGUUAUCCGGAAUCAUUGGGUUUAAAGGGUCCGUAGGCGGGCAGUUAAGUCAGUGGUGAAAGUCUUCCGCUCAACGGGAGAACUGCCAUUGAUACUGAUUGUCUUGAGUUAUUAUGAAGUGGUUAGAAUGAGUAGUGUAGCGGUGAAAUGCAUAGAUAUUACUCAGAAUACCGAUUGCGAAGGCAGAUCACUAAUAAUAUACUGACGCUGAUGGACGAAAGCGUAGGUAGCGAACAGGAUUAGAUACCCUGGUAGUCUACGCCGUAAACGAUGGUUACUAGCUGUUCGGAUCGAUUGAGAUCUGAGUGGUUAAGCGAAAGUGAUAAGUAACCCACCUGGGGAGUACGUUCGCAAGAAUGAAACUCAAAGGAAUUGACGGGGGCCCGCACAAGCGG
rnacentral:rRNA from 1 species